UACGAAGGGGGCUAGCGUUGCUCGGAUUCAUUGGGCGUAAAGGGCGCGUAGGCUGCGGGGCAAGUCGGGUGUGAAAUCUCGGAGCUUAACUCCGAAACUGCAUUCGAUACUGCCGUGCUUGAGGACUGGAGAGGAGACUGGAAUUCAUGGUGUAGCAGUGAAAUGCGUAGAGAUCAUGAGGAAGACCAGUGGCGAAGGCGGGUCUCUGGACAGUUCCUGACACUGAGACACGAAGGCCAGGGGAGCAAACGGG
rnacentral:rRNA from 1 species